GUGAAGCAGAGCUUGCUCUGUGGAUCAGUGGCGAACGGGUGAGUAACACGUGAGCAAUCUGCCCCUGACUCUGGGAUAAGCGCUGGAAACGGCGUCUAAUACCGGAUACGAGCUGCGACCGCAUGGUCAGUAGCUGGAAAGAAUUUCGGUCAGGGAUGAGCUCGCGGCCUAUCAGCUUGUUGGUGAGGUAAUGGCUCACCAAGGCGUCGACGGGUAGCCGGCCUGAGAGGGUGACCGGCCACACUGGGACUGAGACACGGCCCAGACUCCUACGGGAGGCAGCAGUGGGGAAUAUUGCACAAUGGGCGCAAGCCUGAUGCAGCAACGCCGCGUGAGGGAUGACGGCCUUCGGGUUGUAAACCUCUUUUAGCAGGGAAGAAGCGAAAGUGACGGUACCUGCAGAAAAAGCGCCGGCUAACUACGUGCCAGCAGCCGCGGUAAUACGUAGGGCGCAAGCGUUAUCCGGAAUUAUUGGGCGUAAAGAGCUCGUAGGCGGUCUGUCGCGUCUGCUGUGAAAACCCGAGGCUCAACCUCGGGCCUGCAGUGGGUACGGGCAGACUAGAGUGCGGUAGGGGAGAUUGGAAUUCCUGGUGUAGCGGUGGAAUGCGCAGAUAUCAGGAGGAACACCGAUGGCGAAGGCAGAUCUCUGGGCCGUAACUGACGCUGAGGAGCGAAAGGGUGGGGAGCAAACAGGCUUAGAUACCCUGGUAGUCCACCCCGUAAACGUUGGGAACUAGUUGUGGGGUCCAUUCCACGGAUUCCGUGACGCAGCUAACGCAUUAAGUUCCCCGCCUGGGGAGUACGGCCGCAAGGCUAAAACUCAAAGGAAUUGACGGGGACCCGCACAAGCGGCGGAGCAUGCGGAUUAAUUCGAUGCAACGCGAAGAACCUUACCAAGGCUUGACAUAUAGAGGAAACGUCUGGAAACAGUCGCCCCGCAAGGUCUCUAUACAGGUGGUGCAUGGUUGUCGUCAGCUCGUGUCGUGAGAUGUUGGGUUAAGUCCCGCAACGAGCGCAACCCUCGUUCUAUGUUGCCAGCACGUAAUGGUGGGAACUCAUGGGAUACUGCCGGGGUCAACUCGGAGGAAGGUGGGGAUGACGUCAAAUCAUCAUGCCCCUUAUGUCUUGGGCUUCACGCAUGCUACAAUGGCCGGUACAAAGGGCUGCAAUACCGUGAGGUGGAGCGAAUCCCAAAAAGCCGGUCCCAGUUCGGAUUGAGGUCUGCAACUCGACCUCAUGAAGUCGGAGUCGCUAGUAAUCGCAGAUCAGCAACGCUGCGGUGAAUACGUUCCCGGGUCUUGUACACACCGCCCGUCAAGUCAUGAAAGUCGGUAACACCUGAAGCCGGUGGCCCAACC
rnacentral:rRNA from 1 species